GGAUGCUGGCUGAUCCAACGGGGGCUUUUGGGAAGGCCACCAAUCUCUUGCUUGACAAGGACUCUCUCCGGCAGUUGUUUGGGACAAAUCGAUCCAAGAGGUUCUCCAUGGUGGUGGAGGACAGCAUGGUGAAGUCCCUCAACGUGGAAGAGGACGGGACGGGACUGACCUGCAGCCUGGCCAGCAACAUCGUCUCCCAGCUCUGAGGCCCAGACCCCACUCCCCCGUUGCUGAUCUUAGCCCUGGUGGGAAUCCACCCUACGCAACCAGUUGGUUCCUACCGGGCGGAUGGCCCUUGCGGGAGUUUGGAAUCGGCUCAGGAGGUUGCGCCCGAGAGGGAGUUGUGUGUCUUUCCGUAAUUGUGGCGUCCUUGGUGCUUUCUGAGCUUCAAGACGUUUUAUGACCCAACUAGGUAACAUCAUCAUUGCUCUCUGUUUAUAUAUUAGUAGCUUGCCCUGUCAGUGUUGGGGAGAGUGUUUUCGUUUUGAUAGAUCCUUGAUUAGGCUGUUCAUUGCUUGAUUGUCGGAGUUGAUGGCAGCAAGCCCUUUUGUCUAAAAAA